UACGGAGGAUGCGAGCGUUAUCCGGAUUUAUUGGGUUUAAAGGGUGCGUAGGCGGACGCUUAAGUCAGCGGUAAAAUUGCGGGGCUCAACCUCGUCGAGCCGUUGAAACUGGGUGCCUUGAGUGGGCGAGAAGUACGCGGAAUGCGUGGUGUAGCGGUGAAAUGCAUAGAUAUCACGCAGAGCUCCGAUUGCGAAGGCAGCGUACCGGCGCCCUACUGACGCUGAAGCACGAAGGCGUGGGUAUCGAACAGG
rnacentral:rRNA from 1 species